AUCGCUUCUCGGCCUUUUUGGCUCAGAUCAAGUGUAGUAUCUGUUUCUUAUCAGUUUAAUAUCUGAUACGUCCCCCCAUCCGGGGGACUACAUAUUAAAUGGAUUUUUCGAACAGGGAGUCCGGAAAUGGGGGCUUGCUCCGUCCGCUCCACGCAUCGACCCGGUAUUGCAGUACCUCCGGGAAACGGUGCAACACUU
rnacentral:snRNA from 8 species